rnacentral:rRNA from 1 species
GACGAACGCUGGCGGCGUGCCUAAUACAUGCAAGUCGAACGAAACUUUCUUACGCCGACUGCUUGCAUUCACCGUAAGAAGUUGAGUGGCGGACGGGUGAGUAACACGUGGGUAACCUGCCUAAAAGAAGGGGAUAACACUUGGAAACAGGUGCUAAUACCGUAUAUCUCUAAGGAUCGCAUGAUCCUUAGAUGAAAGAUGGUUCUGCUAUCGCUUUUCGAUGGACCCGCGGCGUAUUAACUAGUUGGUGGGGUAACGGCCUACCAAGGUGAUGAUACGUAGCCGAACUGAGAGGUUGAUCGGCCACAUUGGGACUGAGACACGGCCCAAACUCCUACGGGAGGCAGCAGUAGGGAAUCUUCCACAAUGGACGCAAGUCUGAUGGAGCAACGCCGCGUGAGUGAAGAAGGUCUUCGGAUCGUAAAACUCUGUUGUUAGAGAAGAACACGAGUGAGAGUAACUGUUCAUUCGAUGACGGUAUCUAACCAGCAAGUCACGGCUAACUACGUG